rnacentral:tRNA from 1 species
ACCAGGAUGGCCGAGUGGUUAAGGCGUUGGACUUAAGAUCCAAUGGGCAAAUGCCCGCGUGGGUUCGAACCCCACUCCUGGUA